rnacentral:rRNA from 1 species
GACGAACGCUGGCGGCGUGCUUACACAUGCAAGUCGAACGGAAAGGCCCUGCUUUUGUGGGGUGCUCGAGUGGCGAACGGGUGAGUAACACGUGAGUAACCUGCCCUUGACUUUGGGAUAACUUCAGGAAACUGGGGCUAAUACCGGAUAGGAGCUCCUGCUGCAUGGUGGGGGUUGGAAAGUUUCGGCGGUUGGGGAUGGACUCGCGGCUUAUCAGCUUGUUGGUGGGGUAGUGGCUUACCAAGGCAUUGACGGGUAGCCGGCCUGAGAGGGUGACCGGCCACAUUGGGACUGAGAUACGGCCCAGACUCCUACGGGAGGCAGCAGUGGGGAAUAUUGCACAAUGGGCGGAAGCCUGAUGCAGCAACGCCGCGUGCGGGAUGACGGCCUUCGGGUUGUAAACCGCUUUCGCCUGUGACGAAGCGUGAGUGACGGUAAUGGGUAAAGAAGCACCGGCUAACUACGUGCCAGCAGCCGCGGUGAUACGUAGGGUGCGAGCGUUGUCCGGAUUUAUUGGGCGUAAAGGGCUCGUAGGUGGUUGAUCGCGUCGGAAGUGUAAUCUUGGGGCUUAACCCUGAGCGUGCUUUCGAUACGGGUUGACUUGAGGAAGGUAGGGGAGAAUGGAAUUCCUGGUGGAGCGGUGGAAUGCGCAGAUAUCAGGAGGAACACCAGUGGCGAAGGCGGUUCUCUGGGCCUUUCCUGACGCUGAGGAGCGAAAGCGUGGGGAGCGAACAGGCUUAGAUACCCUGGUAGUCCACGCUGUAAACGGUGGGUACUAGGUGUGGGGUCCAUUCCACGGGUUCCGUGCCGUAGCUAACGCUUUAAGUACCCCGCCUGGGGAGUACGGCCGCAAGGCUAAAACUCAAAGGAAUUGACGGGGCCCCGCACAAGCGGCGGAGCAUGCGGAUUAAUUCGAUGCAACGCGUAGAACCUUACCUGGGUUUGACAUGGAUCGGGAGUGCUCAGAGAUGGGUGUGCCUCUUUUGGGGUCGGUUCACAGGUGGUGCAUGGCUGUCGUCAGCUCGUGUCGUGAGAUGUUGGGUUAAGUCCCGCAACGAGCGCAACCCUUGUUCACUGUUGCCAGCACGUUAUGGUGGGGACUCAGUAGAGACCGCCGGGGUCAACUCGGAGGAAGGUGGGGAUGACGUCAAGUCAUCAUGCCCCUUAUGUCCAGGGCUUCACGCAUGCUACAAUGGCUGGUACAGAGAGUGGCGAGCCUGUGAGGGUGAGCGAAUCUCGGAAAGCCGGUCUCAGUUCGGAUUGGGGUCUGCAACUCGACCUCAUGAAGUCGGAGUCGCUAGUAAUCGCAGAUCAGCAACGCUGCGGUGAAUACGUUCCCGGGGCU